rnacentral:rRNA from 1 species
AGAGUUUGAUCCUGGCUCAGGACGAACGCUGGCGGCAUGCCUAACACAUGCAAGUCUAGGGGCCCUUCGGGGUCACUGGCGCACGGGUGAGUAACACGUAGGUUAUCUGCCCCUAUCACAGACAUAACUCCGGGAAACCGGUGCUAAUAUCUGAUGAGGUCGUGAGAUCAAAGCUUCGGCGGAUAGGGAUGAGCCUGCGUCUGAUUAGCUAGUUGGUGAGGUAAUGGCUCACCAAGGCGACGAUCAGUAGCUGGUCUGAGAGGACGAACAGCCACACUGGAACUGAGACACGGUCCAGACUCCUACGGGAGGCAGCAGUGAGGAAUAUUGGUCAAUGGGCGCAAGCCUGAACCAGCAAUGCCGCGUGUGGGAUGAAGGGGCUCUGCCUCGUAAACCACUGUCGGACGGGACGAAAAGGGGUAUAAACCCCUGGGACGGUACCGUCAAAGGAAGGGUCGGCUAACUACGUGCCAGCGGCCGCGGUAAUACGUAGGACCCGAGCGUUGUCCGGAUUCACUGGGUAUAAAGGGUGCGUAGGCGGUCAUGUGCGUCAGAGGUGAAAUAUCCGGGCUCAACCCGGAGGGUGCCUUUGAUACGGCGUGACUUGAGUGCGAGAGAGGAUGAUGGAAUUCCUGGUGUAGCGGUGAAAUGCGUAGAUAUCAGGAGGAACACCGGUGGCGAAGGCGGUCAUCUGGCUCGUAACUGACGCUGAGGCACGAAAGCGUGGGGAUCAAACAGGAUUAGAUACCCUGGUAGUCG